rnacentral:rRNA from 1 species
AUUGAACGCUGGCGGCAGGCCUAACACAUGAAAGUCGAGCGGAGCGGCGGACGGGUGAGUAAUGCCUAGGAAUCUUCAUGGUAGUGGGGGAUAACGUCCGGAAACGGGCGCUAAUACCGCAUACUAUCAGAUGAGCCUAGGUCGGAUUAGCUAGUUGGUGGGGUAAAGGCCUACCAAGGCGACGAUCCGUAACUGGUCUGAGAGGAGGAUCAGUCACACGGGAACUGAGACACGGGCCAGACUCUUACGGAGUGAAGCAGUGGGGAAUAGUAGACAAGUGGCGAAAUCCGUAUCCAGCCAUGCAACUUGUGUAAAGAAGGUCUUCGGAUUGUAAAGCACUUUAAGUUGUGAGGCGUUUCCAGCAAAAUAAGCACCGGCUAACUUCGUGCCAGCCGCCGCGGUAAUAC